AGAGAUGUGUGAUGACGCAUAUCAAUAAGCGGAGGAAAAGAAACUAACAAGGAUUCCCUUAGUAACGGCGAGUGAAGCGGGAAGAGCUCAAAUUUGAAAUCUUCAAGGUUCUACCUUGACGAAUUGUAGUUUAUAGAAGUGUUUUCUGUUAGUAGAGUGGCAAAAGUUCUUUGGAAUAGGACAUCAUAGAGGGUGAGAAUCCCGUAUUUGGUCAUUCUUUCUAGCUUUGUGAUACACUUUCAACGAGUCGGAUUGUUUGGGAAUGCAGUCCAAAAUGGGUGGUAAAUUUCAUCUAAAGCUAAAUAUUGGCGAGAGACCGAUAGCGAACAAGUACCGUGAGGGAAAGAUGAAAAGAACUUUGAAAAGAGAGUUAAACAGUACGUGAAAUUGUCAAAAGGGAAGCGUUUGACACCAGUGUUGUUUUUCCGAAAAUCAAUUACGAAUGUUUUGUUUUUGAGGAGUUAUGACUUCAUCGGCUUGCUUCUCUCUUUACGAAACUUUCUUAAUGCACUUUUCGGUUAACAAGUCAACAUCAAUUUCUUUUGUUGUAAAAGGGUAUGAGGAAGGUGGCUUUCUUUUCGGAGAAAGUGUUUAUAGCCUUGUGCCUCUGCAAUCGGAGAGAUUGAGGUCUGCAGCGUAGAUCCUUCGGGGUUAGAUACAUUUGUGCUAAGUUAUAGCUUUUCAUAGACAACUUGUUGACUAUGUUAAGUCUUGUAGCUUACUCGCUUAUGCUAUUUUACCUACGCUUAGGAUGUUGAUCUGUAGUGCGUGCGC
rnacentral:rRNA from 1 species